rnacentral:rRNA from 1 species
GAAAGCGUGGNGAGCGAACAGGAUUAGAUACCCUGGUAGUNCACGCCGUAAACGAUGAGUGCUAGGUGUUAGGCCCUUUCCGGGGCUUAGUGCCGCAGCUAACGCAUUAAGCACUCCGCCUGGGGAGUACGACCGCAAGGUUGAAACUCAAAGGAAUUGACGGGGGCCCGCACAAGCGGUGGAGCAUGUGGUUUAAUUCGAAGCAACGCGAAGAACCUUACCAGGUCUUGACAUCCCGAUGCCCGCUCUAGAGAUAGAGUUUUACUUCGGUACAUCGGUGACAGGUGGUGCAUGGUUGUCGUCAGCUCGUGUCGUGAGAUGUUGGGUUAAGUCCCGCAACGAGCGCAACCCUUAUUGUUAGUUGCCAUCAUUCAGUUGGGCACUCUAGCGAGACUGCCGGUAAUAAACCGGAGGAAGGUGGGGAUGACGUCAAAUCAUCAUGCCCCUUAUGACCUGGGCUACACACGUGCUACAAUGGCUGGUACAACGAGUCGCAAGUCGGUGACGGCAAGCUAAUCUCUUAAAGCCAGUCUCAGUUCGGAUUGUAGGCUGCAACUCGCCUACAUGAAGUCGGAAUCGCUAGUAAUCGCGGAUCAGCACGCCGCGGUGAAUACGUUCCCGGGCCUUGUACACACCGCCCGUCACACCACGAGAGUUUGUAACACCCGAAGUCGGUGAGGUANCCUUUUAGGAGCCA